GGUGUGGUUUCCAAGCGGUAAGGCGUUGUUCUUGUAAACCAAAGAUUAAGGUUUGACCCCUAUCCAUGCCU
rnacentral:tRNA from 1 species